rnacentral:rRNA from 1 species
AUUGACGCUGGCGGCAGGCCUAACACAUGCAAGUCGAACGAGUGGCGGACGGGUGAGUAAUGUCUGGGAAACUGCCUGAUGGAGGGGGAUAACUACUGGAAACGGUAGCUAAUACCGACUACCAUCAGAUGUGCCCAGAUGGGAUUAGCUUGUUGGUGGGGUAACGGCUCACCAAGUCGACGAUCCCUAGCUGGUCUGAGAGGAUGAUCAGUCACACUGGAACUAAGACACGGUCCAUACUCCUACGGUAGGCAGCAGUGGGGAAUAUUGGACAAUGGGCUAAAGCCUGAUCCAGCCAUGCCGCUUGUGUGAAGAAGGUCUUCGGAUUGUAAAGCACUGUAAGUUGGGAGGCGUUACCAACAGAAUAAGCACCGGCUAACUUCGUGCCAGCAGCCGCGGUAAUUC